rnacentral:rRNA from 1 species
GACGAACGCUGGCGGCGUGCUUAACACAUGCAAGUCGAACGGUAAGGCCCUUCGGGGUACACGAGUGGCGAACGGGUGGAGUAACACGUGGGUGAUCUGCCCUGCACUUCGGGAUAAGCCUGGGAAACUGGGUCUAAUACCGGAUAGGACUCCUGGCUUCAUGGUUGGGGGUGUAAAGCUUUUGCGGUGUGGGAUGGGCCCGCGGCCUAUCAGCUUGUUGGUGGGGUAAUGGCCUACCAAGGCGACGACGGGUAGCCGGCCUGAGAGGGUGACCGGCCACACUGGGACUGAGAUACGGCCCAGACUCCUACGGGAGGCAGCAGUGGGAAUAUUGCACAAUGGGCGCAAGCCUGAUGCAGCGACGCCGCGUGAGGGAUGACGGCCUCGGGUUGUAACGUCUUCAAUAGGACGAAGCGCAAGUGACGGUACC